rnacentral:rRNA from 1 species
UUUGAUCCUGGGUUCCAGGACGAACCGCUGGGGGCAUGCCUAAUACAAGCAAGUUCAACGUUGAAGCACUCUGCUUGCAGAGUGCGGAUGAGUGGCGAACGGGUGAGUAACACGUGGGAAUUCUGCCUAGGAGUGGGGGAUGACAUUCGGAAACGGAUGCUAAUACCGCAUAUCUUCAUAGACCGCAUGGUCUAUGAAUGAAAGACGGCUUUGCUGUCGCUCUUAGAUGAUCCCGCGGCGUAUUAGUUAGUUGGUGGGGUAAAGGCCUACCAAGACAAUGAUACGUAGCCGACCUGAGAGGGUGAUCGGCCACACUGGGACUGAGACACGGCCCAGACUCCUACGGGAGGCAGCAGUAGGGAAUCUUCCACAAUGGGUGCAAACCUGAUGGAGCAAUGCCGCGUGAAUGAAGAAGGUCUUCGGAUCGUAAAGUUCUGUUAUUAGAGAAGAACAAGUCAAGGAGUAACUGUCUUGACUUUGACGGUACCUAACCAGAAAGUCACGGCUAACUACGUGCCAGCAGCCGCGGUAAUACGUAGGUGACAAGCGUUGUCCGGAAUUAUUGGGCGUAAAGGGAGCGCAGGCGGUUGGAAUAGUCUGAUGUGAAAGCCCACGGCUUAACCGUGGAAGGUCAUUGGAAACUGUCCAACUUGAAUACAGAAGAGGUAAGUGGAAUUCCAAGUGUAGCGGUGAAAUGCGUAGAUAUUUGGAGGAACACCAGUGGCGAAGGCGACUUACUGGUCUGUAAUUGACGCUGAGGCUCGAAAGCGUGGGUAGCAAACAGGAUUAGAUACCCUGGUAGUCCACGCCGUAAACGAUGAGUGCUAAGUGUUGGAGGGUUUCCGCCCUUCAGUGCUGGAGUUAACG